CCUACGGGUGGCAGCAGUAGGGAAUUUUUCACAAUGGGCGAAACCCUGAUGGAGCAAUGCCGCGUGAAUGAUGAAGGUCUUAUAGAUUGUAAAAUUCUUCUAUUUGGGAAGAAAAACUAAAGUAGGAAAUGACUUUAGUCUGACUGUACCAUUUGAAUAAGUAUCGGGUAACUAUGUGCCAGCAGCCGCGGUAAUACAUAGGAUGCAAGCGUUAUCCGGAUUUACUGGGCGUAAAACGAGCGCAGGGGGGUUAAAAAGCUUGGUAUGAAAGGCUUUUGCUUAACGAAAGUUUGUAUCAAAAACUGUUAAUCUAGAGUGUAGUAGAGGGUUGUGGAAUUCCAUGUGUAGCGGUGGAAUGCGUAGAUAUAAGGAAGAACACCAGUGGCGAAGGCGAGAACCUGGGCUGUCACUGACGCUGAGGCUCGAAAGUGUGGGGAGCAAAUAGGAUUAGAUACCCGGGUAGUC
rnacentral:rRNA from 1 species